CAUGUUGAACUUCGAGUUGGGUCACGGUGCUUAGUCCUUCCAACAGUCGGUAAUGACUAGAACCGUGACUCAGCUCGAGGAAGCGGC
rnacentral:pre_miRNA from 13 species